GAAUAGUUUGAUUUUUUCUUACAAGUCUUGUAUUAAGUCUUAGAUAUAUGGGAAUAUGAGUUUGGAUAAUAAAUUUGGAAUAUUUUCAAUAAUUAAAAUUAAUAAAUUAACGAAAGUUACAAUUAUAAGUUUUAUAGAGUUCUAGUAAAAUAAAGUGCCAGCAUCUGCGGUUAAACUUGAAGUGCAAACAAGAUUCUUUAAAAAAGAAAUAAAAGAAGAAAUUAAAAAUAAUAAAUUAAGUGUAAUUAAAAAAGAGGUAGAAUAGUUUUUAGUUGAAAAGGUUUAAUUUUUAAUUGAAAAAGAUUUUUUAAAUCUAGUAAAAAACUGGGAUUAGAUACCCCAUUAUGUUAGAAGAAAAAUGGUUUUAUGUUAGUACGAGAUAUAUUCUUGAAAGUUAAAAAUUUGGCGGUGCUCUAUUUGAGUAGGGGAACCUGUUUAGUAAUCGAUAAACCACGUUAAAUUGUGCUUAAUUUUAUGUUUUGUAUACCGUCAUUUAGGUAUUUUUAAGAGAAUAAAAUAUUAAAAAUUUAAAAAGAAAAUAAGUUAGAUCAAGGUGCAGAGAAUAAUUAAGAAAGAAAUGGGUUACAAUAAAGUUUAUAUUUUAUAACGAAUAAUUACUUGAAAUUUAGUUUGAAGGAGGACUUGUUUGUAAUAAUAAAUAAGAUUUUAUUAUGAAAAAAAUCCUAGAGCAUGUACAUAUCGCCCGUCGCUUUUACAUUUUAAUGUAAAAUAAGUCGUAACAUAGUAGCUAUACUGGAAAGUGUAUCUAGAAAAAA
rnacentral:ncRNA from 1 species